UGUAUAUAUACGUGUUUGCCUGUCUGCUCGCUAUAGGCUCCAGGCGGCAGCCGGCACAGUCAAAGGCGGUCUAAUAUUAGCACCUCACUGAUGGCUUGCUGUAUCUGGACGAAAGAGGGUGAUAAAUGAGGAUAGCAUUGGUGGGGGCCAUGGAGCCAAGGGGGAAAUGUAAAAUAGAUAGCAUCGCAGUUUUACCGCCAAAAUGCCUACACGCAUGUCCCGUCCUCAUUACAGAGGAUAUAAUGCUCAUUCUGCAUGUGACACCUAGAGAUUAGCCAGAGACUGUGAGAUCAUGAAGCAAGUGAAGGAAAGAGAGGAAGAGGGCAGUGUGGUGCUGGUUUGUGCUUUCUCUCAGCUCCAGUCGCUGAUUUAAUCCCAUGUGCUGUUGUCCGUCGCUAGCCUCCCUGCCUGCUCUGCUUGUCCCUCCCCCAUCAGCUCGGGCUGCUCUCCCCCCUCGCUUUGCCCAAGCCUGGGGGAGCCAGUGGAGAUUAAAUGUAGCCUCUAUAAGCCAAGCACAUCAUGUAGCUGUGUUUAUAGGGCCUCUUUUUCUCUCUCUGUCUUUCUGCCUCACUUUCAUUCUCUUUUUAAAGGAUAGUGUUUAUGAUGUCAGGCAUGUGAUAGAGAACUUCUAGAAUGUCAAUGUCAUUGGGAAUACCAAAAUAUUUUAUAAGCAAUGAAGUAAAAAUGACAAAAAAUCAAAAUGCAAGAAAGUCUAUGCCUUUUUCUACACUAUUUCUCCUUCUCCGCCAACAUCCUCCCCACUUCGGGUUGAUACUGCAGAGAAGUGGGCCUCUGGCUUUAAAUGAUCACAGCUGUGCGAGCAAAUUAAUGGAUGAUAUUUCUCUGUUUUCCCCCCUUUCUACAACGUUUUUCAACAUGGAUUUAUAAAGAGGGAAAGAGGGACCAGGGGUGUCACGCUUCUACGUUUUCCCCCUCCUCUUUCCAAUUUUGCAUGCAUCUCAGUCUGCUCAACUAUGAGAGAGAGGAAGAGUGUGCAUGUGUGUGUCCUGGGAGAGAGAGAGCAGGCGAGAGCGAGAGAGAUGGCGAGGGAGGGAGAAAAUGAAAUGUAAGACAGAUACGGAGAGUGAAAGAAGAAGGGAGUGUGGAGAGAGCAAGCUAGCGAGAGUCGAGAGCCAGUAACGCGGUGCAUUGAUGCAUUUGCUGCUUCUCAGACGUGCUCUUUCGGCGGGACGUAGCCCGGGGUUUUUGGCAGCAGCAGCAGGCUUCCUGUUUUCCAUCACCCAAUCAAGCCAGACCUGGAAUAGGGAUAAACGCACGAACGGAGUUGCCGCGGCUGAGCAGCGCUGGACGAGUGAGGCUGCGAGAAAACUGUGAUCGGCUUCAUACUCAUCCUCAUCCUCACACCAGGGUUAGAACGGCUGCAGGAAGAAAGGGGAGAGUUAACCGUCGUUUUUGCUGUGCAAUCCGAUCUGUAGAACACAGAGGGGAGGAAAGAUAAAAGGAAACAGAAGCGCGGUUGGAGUCUGUCUACAGGAAGAGCCUGAUUAGAGGUGAGCCUGCAGCAGGCACAUUGGCUGAGGAAGCAGCCAAUCACAAGGGCAGCCAGGAAGGGCAAAGCCUAUCUGCCUUUGGCAAACCGUUUCUCUGUGUGUCACUUCACUCUUGUUGAACACAAUGUAUCAGGUAUCAAUCUGGUAUACUUAAUUACAAUAUAAAUGUACCUCAUGUAAUUCAUGUCAUAUGUAACAUGUUCUUUGAGCAUUUCAGGUCACGUUCUCUCAGCGCAUGUAUUAUUAAUGGAUUUAAUGGCUCACUGGUGUUUCUUGUAAUAUGCAUGCUCAUGAACAUUAAUAAAGCAAACACGUGUUUGGGAAUGCACUUUAUUGAACUGUGAAGGAAUUAAUGACACAAGGGUCUCUAUAUGUCAUGCAGUUUU